GUCAAGUAAUAAAAUUUAUAAGAUUCGUAUCCACAGGGAUUGUUUCAAUCUCGACAAAACAAUUAAAUUAAUUUAGGAUUAAUAGAAAGUGUGUGAAAAGGGGGGAUUUUCAGCUUGAAGUAGUAACAAUGACAAUAAUUAAAAGUGCAAGAUAUCGGAACGUGAACUUGUUAAUAGAGAACGGCGAUUAGGAAUUAUUUUGAAUCAUCUCUUUGUCCCUAACUGGUACUCUAGGUUCUAGUCCUCAAUGAUGAAAUUCUUAUAAUUACGACAAUAUAACAAAAU
rnacentral:lncRNA from 1 species